rnacentral:tRNA from 1 species
GCCUGGCUGGCUCAGUUGGUGGAGCAUGUGACUCUUGAUCUCCAGGUGGUGAGUUCAAGCCUCACGUUGGGCA